rnacentral:rRNA from 1 species
UACGGAGGGUGCAAGCGUUGUCCGGAUUUAUUGGGUUUAAAGGGUACGUAGGCGGGUCUUUAAGUCCGUGGUGAAAGCCUGCAGCUUAACUGCAGAACUGCCAUGGAUACUGGAGAUCUUGAAUUCAGUUGAGGUAAGCGGAAUUUAUGAUGUAGCGGUGAAAUGCAUAGAUAUCAUAAAGAACACCUAUUGCGAAGGCAGCUUGCUGGACUUGGAUUGACGCUAAGGUACGAAAGCGUGGGGAGCGAACAGG